UACGUAGGGGGCAAGCGUUUGUCCGGAUUUAUUGGGCGUAAAGAGCGUGUAGGCGGUCAGGUAGGUCCGUUGUGAAAACUCGAGGCUCAACCUCGAGACGCCGAUGGAAACCAUCUGACUAGAGUCCGGAAGAGGAGAGUGGAAUUCCUGGUGUAGCGGUGAAAUGCGUAGAUAUCUGGAGGAACACCGGUGGCGAAGGCGGCAUCCUGGACCAACACUGACGCUGAGUGAGCGAAAGCCAGGGGAGCAAACGGG
rnacentral:rRNA from 1 species